AUUGAACGCUGGCGGCAGGCUUAACACAUGCAAGUCGAGCGGGGAGAUGUAGCUUGCUACAUUUCCUAGCGGCGGACGGGUGAGUAAUGCUUAGGAAUCUGCCUAUUAGUGGGGGACAACAUUCCGAAAGGAAUGCUAAUACCGCAUACGCCCUACGGGGGAAAGCAGGGGAUCUUCGGACCUUGCGCUAAUAGAUGAGCCUAAGUCAGAUUAGCUAGGUGGUGGGGUAAAGGCCUACCAAGGCGACGAUCUGUAGCGGGUCUGAGAGGAUGAUCCGCCACACUGGGACUGAGACACGGCCCAGACUCCUACGGGAGGCAGCAGUGGGGAAUAUUGGACAAUGGGCGAAAGCCUGAUCCAGCCAUGCCGCGUGUGUGAAGAAGGCCUUUUGGUUGUAAAGCACUUUAAGCGGGGAGGAGGCUACUUGGAUUAAUACUCUAGGAUAGUGGACGUUACUCGCAGAAUAAGCACCGGCUAACUCUGUGCCAGCCGCCGCCGUAAAAC
rnacentral:rRNA from 1 species